AGUCCAGCAGGCCAGCCCCAGUGUGGGGGUGGGGCUCAGCUCUCCUCUGGCUACAGAGGAAGGGGGUGACACCCAUUUCUCAGGCUGAGCAGCAGCAGCAGCAGCAGCAGCAGCAGCAGCAGCAGCAGCAGCAGCAGCAGCAGCAGCAGCAGCGAGAGCCAACCGCCCCGCCCCCCAACGCAGCCCAGCCAUCUGCAGCGCUAGGUUUGUGACUGAGCCCUCGGCAAGCUGCGGGGCCUGAGGCUGUCAGACAGCAGAUUCUCAUCCCGCCUUCUGAGGUGUUGAGGAAACACGAGAUGCACCACCAACCCACACCACGGUGACGUACUUGGCUCUGCCAUAUGCCAGCCUUGGGGUGCUCGAGUCUGCCCGCCCUGGGUGCGGGUACCCACCUUCCAGAUGGGAGGAUGUGAUACCUGCAGGGCAGCCAGAGAUGGGUGGGGGGAGAACAGGGGUGUUUUCUCCUGCCACCGACUCCAGGAGCGUGGGCUCCCUGGGCCCUGGCGGGGAAGGCAGCAGGGAGCUUCCUGUGCCCAGAGGGGGACUCAUCCAGCUGCCGAACAUCUGCAGGGCCAACCAGCUCUGGGGCACAUGUGUCCAGGGCAUGCCGCGAAGGAGAUGCUGACUUGGCAUGGCUGCAGCCAGAGAAGUCUUUGGCAAGAUUAUCUGACUGCCUGGAAAGAAACCACUCAGAAGCAGGAGAUUUAGCACACGUGACCCACAGCCAGAAAAACAUCCAGGCCCCAGAUAAGGAAACCCAGAGACGUUUGGUGUCUUUCCCGAGGCCACACAACCAGCGAGUACCAUAGACAUCUUGCUCCGAUAACACACAGCUUCUUGCUCAACAACAUGUGCAAGAUAGAGUUAGGGGUGGGGAUGGGGGGCAGCGAGAUGCCCAGCCUCAGGUGGAAGCUGCCAGGAUCUUUGGUCAGCACUGCCAUGGGGUGCAAGGUAAGAGGGCACAGAGGGGAGAGCCAGGAGGGCAGAGGCAGCUGUUUCAGGAACCUCCUCCUGGGAGCCUUGGCUGAUGGCAGUGGCCCUGGAGGACCCUGCCGAAGUCACAUUUGAUGAACUGUGAUUGACCACAAUGGCCACCACUUGGUGAGACUUCAUCUUCCCUCUGGGCACAAUGCUCUGGACAGAAAGUCAGUGGACAUGAUCCUGGUCACCUCUCUCUCUAAUUUUGUUGUCCCCAACCAAGAGGAUCUGAUGACCUCUCAGCAACUUUCCGGCCUACCUUACAUUCAUCUCAAGCUUGGGGGCGCUGUCUCAGCCCCUAGCCCAGUGCCAGGCAAACCACCAGGAAGUCAGCGGGGCUGCCCAAGGUGUCUGACUCCCCGACUCUUUGGCCCCAUCUUUCUUUAUCCAGAGGAGGGGCCCUGGACCCUAAACUGGU
rnacentral:lncRNA from 1 species